ACGAGUGGCGGACGGGUGAGUAAUGUCUGGGAAACUGCCUGAUGGAGGGGGAUAACUACUGGAAACGGUGGCUAAUACCGCAUAACGUCGCAAGACCAAAGAGGGGGACCUUCGGGCCUCUUGCCAUCAGAUGUGCCCAGAUGGGAUUAGCUUGUUGGUGAGGUAACGGCUCACCAAGGCGACGAUCCCUAGCUGGUCUGAGAGGAUGACCAGCCACACUGGAACUGAGACACGGUCCAGACUCCUACGGGAGGCAGCAGUGGGGAAUAUUGCACAAUGGGCGCAAGCCUGAUGCAGCCAUGCCGCGUGUAUGAAGAAGGCCUUCGGGUUGUAAAGUACUUUCAGCGGGGAGGAAGGUGUUGUGGUUAAUAACCGCAGCAAUUGACGUUACCCGCAGAAGAAGCACCGGCUAACUCCGUGCCAGCAGCCGCGGUAAUACGGAGGGUGCAAGCGUUAAUCGGAAUUACUGGGCGUAAAGCGCACGCAGGCGGUCUGUCAAGUCGGAUGUGAAAUCCCCGGGCUCAACCUGGGAACUGCAUUCGAAACUGGCAGGCUUGAGUCUUGUAGAGGGGGGUAGAAUUCCAGGUGUAGCGGUGAAAUGCGUAGAGAUCUGGAGGAAUACCGGUGGCGAAGGCGGCCCCCUGGACAAAGACUGACGCUCAGGUGCGAAAGCGUGGGGAGCAAACAGGAUUAGAUACCCUGGUAGUCCACGCCGUAAACGAUGUCUACUUGGAGGCUGUGCCCUUGAGGCGUGGCUUCCGGAGCUAACGCGUUAAGUAGACCGCCUGGGGAGUACGGCCGCAAGGUUAAAACUCAAAUGAAUUGACGGGGGCCCGCACAAGCGGUGGAGCAUGUGGUUUAAUUCGAUGCAACGCGAAGAACCUUACCUGGUCUUGACAUCCACAGAAGUUUGCAGAGAUGCGAAUGUGCCUUCGGGAACUGUGAGACAGGUGCUGCAUGGCUGUCGUCAGCUCGUGUUGUGAAAUGUUGGGUUAAGUCCCGCAACGAGCGCAACCCUUAUCCUUUGUUGCCAGCGGUUAGGCCGGGAACUCAAA
rnacentral:rRNA from 1 species